rnacentral:lncRNA from 1 species
CAGAUUUCCAAGAAUACAGCCAGCUACUCUGUCAGUGUCUUUGGUCCUUCAAGUCCUAGCUGCCUUGGAAGCCCUAAACUGCAUUUUUUUUUUCUUCUCAGUUUCUGAUAUUAUCAGACUCUGCUCAGCUCUUCUACCUUUUUGCUUCUACUUUCUACUUCGUUUUUCAGACUCUUGCUUUAUGUGAGUUUUCUGAAUCAGCAAAUGCUUUGAGGAAAGAAAUAGUGAAGACUACCAGGUUUUCCUCAAUGCAUUUUCCUUUUUGAGAGAAUCCUGGCACCUAACGUUUUGACUUCCUUGAUUGUUCUCAAAUGCCUUCGAAGAGAUGUGCUUUAUUCUAAGCAGGAUCAUAUAACCGAAAGGAAAUCACUUGGCUGAGCAGAGCCAUGGGUCUGCGUCCACUCUAUGGAUUGAUUCCAUAUCAGCUUCAGAGAUAUGAAAAUGACAUGAGCUGGGCCAGGCAUGGUGGCUCAUGCCUGCAAUCUCACCACUUUGGGAGGCCGAGGCUGGUGAAUCACGAGGUGAAGAGAUCGAGAUCAUCUUGGCCAUCAUGAUGAAACCCCAUCUCUACUAAAAAUACAAAAAUUGGCAGAGCAUGGUGACACACAC